rnacentral:misc_RNA from 1 species
GAUGAAGAACGCAGUAAAAUGCGAUAAGUAAUGUGAAUUGCAGAAUUCAGUGAAUCAUCGAAUCUUUGAACGCACAUUGCGCCCGCUGGUAUUCCGGCGGGCAUGCCUGUUCGAGCGUCAUUUCAACCCUCAAGCCCCCGGGUUUGGUGUUGGGGAUCGGCUCUGCCCUUCUGGCGGUGCCGCCCCCGAAAUACAUUGGCGGUCUCGCUGCAGCCUCCAUUGCGUAGUAGCUAACACCUCGCAACUGGAACGCGGCGCGGCCAUGCCGUAAAACCCCAACUUCUGAAUGUUGACCUCGAAUCAGGUAGGAAUACCCGCUGAACUUAAGCAUAUCAAUAAGCGGAGGA